rnacentral:rRNA from 1 species
GAUGAACGCUGGCGGCGUGCCUAAUACAUGCAAGUCGUACGAUAAGACGCUUUGCGGGCUACACGAGCGGCGAACGGGGGCGUAACACGUGCACAACCUUCCCCCAACUUUGGGAUAACGCUAGGAAACUGGAACCAAAGCUGGUACUGUGUAACAUCUUCAACCGCGUGGUUCAAAAGCUCCGGCGGUUGUUGCUGGACUUUCGGCCUAUCAGCUUGUCGGGGGAGCUGUGGCGUACCAAGGCGGCUACGUGUAGCCGGCCUGAGAAGGUGACCUGCCACAUUGAGACUGAGAUACGGCACAGACUGGUACGCGAGGGAGCAGUGGGGAAUAUUGCAGGAGGGGCGCAAGCCUGGUGCAGAAGCGCCGCGGGCGGGAUGACGGUGUUCGUAUGGUAGACCGCUUGCGGCAGUGACGAUGCUUGUUGUGACGGUACCUGCAGAAAAAGCAACGGCUAACUACGUG